CCGUGCUAGGUGGGGGGCUAGGGGUCCCCUGUACCGGAAACCCUCGAUACGCCGGGCUUAAUUACUUGCCCGCGGCCUGUGUUCGACCGGGCAGCACCCGGUGUGCAGCGUUGAUGGUCGGGUCCCGCGCGACCCGGAGCCGUGAACCCGGUCAGGCCCGGAAGGGAGCAGCCGUAAGCGGUGUCCCGGGAGUGCCGCGGGUUCGCCCGGCCGGAGCCCGCAGCCGGGAACGCGCCGGCCGUGCAUGGGUCCAAGGUGAGGUGCACGG
rnacentral:SRP_RNA from 1 species